GACGAACGCUGGCGGCGUGCUUAACACAUGCAAGUCGAACGAAGAGCGAUGGAAGCUUGCUUCUAUCAAUCUUAGUGGCGAACGGGUGAGUAACGCGUAAUCAACCUGCCCUUCAGAGGGGGACAACAGUUGGAAACGACUGCUAAUACCGCAUACGAUCUAAUCUCGGCAUUGAGGAUAGAUGAAAGGUGGCCUCUACAUGUAAGCUAUCACUGAAGGAGGGGAUUGCGUCUGAUUAGCUAGUUGGAGGGGUAACGGCCCACCAAGGCGAUGAUCAGUAGCCGGUCUGAGAGGAUGAACGGCCACAUUGGGACUGAGACACGGCCCAGACUCCUACGGGAGGCAGCAGUGGGGAAUCUUCCGCAAUGGACGAAAGUCUGACGGAGCAACGCCGCGUGAGUGAUGACGGCCUUCGGGUUGUAAAGCUCUGUUAAUCGGGACGAAAGGCCUUCUUGCGAAUAGUGAGAAGGAUUGACGGUACCGGAAUAGAAAGCCACGGCUAACUACGUG
rnacentral:rRNA from 1 species